UGAUUUGUUCGUAGAGCGCGAACAGCAUAAUCAAAAGAAAGCUCAACUGAU
rnacentral:sRNA from 12 species